AGAGUUUGAUCCUGGCUCAGGAUGAACGCUGGCGGCGUGCUAACACAUGCAAGUCGAACGAAGCACUACCGACGGAACUUUUCAGAGGGAAGAUGGUAAUGACUGAGUGGCGGACGGGUGAGUAACGCGUGGGCAACCUGCCCCAUAGAGGGGGACAACAGCUGGAAACGGCUGCUAAUACCGCAUAACAAGGAGAGAGCGCAUGUUCUUUUCUUCAAAGAUUUAUCGCUAUGGGAUGGACCCGCGUCUGAUUAGCUGGUUGGUGAGGUAACGGCUCACCAAGGCGACGAUCAGUAGCCGGCUUGAGAGAGUGGACGGCCACAUUGGGACUGAGACACGGCCCAGACUCCUACGGGAGGCAGCAGUGGGGAAUAUUGCACAAUGGGGGAAACCCUGAUGCAGCGACGCCGCGUGAGUGAAGAAGUAUUUCGGUAUGUAAAGCUCUAUCAGCAGGGAAGAUAAUGACGGUACCUGACUAAGAAGCCCCGGCUAACUACGUGCCAGCAGCCGCGGUAAUACGUAGGGGGCAAGCGUUAUCCGGAUUUACUGGGUGUAAAGGGAGCGUAGGUGGCAGGGCAAGUCAGAUGUGAAAACCCGGGGCUCAACCCCGGGAGUGCAUUUGAAACUGUCCAGCUGGAGUGCAGGAGAGGUAAGCGGAAUUCCUAGUGUAGCGGUGAAAUGCAUAGAUAUUAGGAGGAACACCAGUGGCGAAGGCGGCUUACUGGACUGUAACUGACACUGAGGCUCGAAAGCGUGGGGAGCAAACAAAAUUAGAUACCCUGGUAGUCCACGCCGUAAAC
rnacentral:rRNA from 1 species